GGAAAGUUACAUGGCAGUCGAGGGGCAUCGGGAGGGAGCUUGCUUUCCUUGCCGGCGGCCGGCGCACGGGUGAGUAACACGUAUGCAACCUGCCCUCUUCAGGGGGACAACCUUCCGAGAGGGAGGCUAAUCCCGCGUAUAUCGGUUUCGGGCAUCCGUUAUCGAGGAAAGAUUCAUCGGAAGAGGAUGGGCAUGCGGCGCAUUAGCUAGACGGCGGGGUAACGGCCCACCGUGGCGACGAUGCGUAGGGGUUCUGAGAGGAAGGUCCCCCACACUGGUACUGAGACACGGACCAGACUCCUACGGGAGGCAGCAGUGAGGAAUAUUGGUCAAUGGGAGAGAUCCUGAACCAGCCAAGCCGCGUGAGGGAAGACGGCCCUAUGGGUUGUAAACCUCUUUUGUCGGAGAACAAAACCCGGGACGAGUCCCGGACUGCGUGUAUCCGAAGAAAAAGCAUCGGCUAACUCCGUGCCAGCAGCCGCGGUAAUACGGAGGAUGCGAGCGUUAUCCGGAUUUAUUGGGUUUAAAGGGUGCGUAGGCGGUCCGUUAAGUCAGCGGUAAAAUUGCGGGGCUCAACCUCGUCGAGCCGUUGAAACUGGCAGACUUGAGUUGGCGAGAAGUACGCGGAAUGCGCGGUGUAGCGGUGAAAUGCAUAGAUAUCGCGCAGAACUCCGAUUGCGAAGGCAGCGUACCGGCGCCAGACUGACGCUGAAGCACGAAAGCGUGGGGAUCGAACAGGAUUAUAUACCC
rnacentral:rRNA from 1 species